rnacentral:rRNA from 1 species
UACGUAGGGUGCGAGCGUUAAUCGGAAUUACUGGGCGUAAAGCGUGCGCAGGCGGUUAUGUAAGACCGGUGUGAAAUCCCCGGGCUUAACCUGGGAACUGCAUUGGUGACUGCAUUGCUGGAGUAUGGCAGAGGGGGGUGGAAUUCCACGUGUAGCAGUGAAAUGCGUAGAGAUGUGGAGGAACACCGAUGGCGAAGGCAGCCCCCUGGGCCAAUACUGACGCUCAUGCACGAAAGCGUGGGGAGCAAACAGG